GCACAUGCGCAGAAUCAUCGUGGUGCACGGCUCUCCCGUUGCUUCUUCGGUUGCAGUCCUCUUGGCUUCUUGCGCGUGCGUGUAGCGCUUUUGCAAAGCCGCGGAGGUGAAGCUAACGUAGAGGCUGUGGGGCCAAGGGGUCCUCUUAUAGCUAUCAGCCCACAGGCAUUUAGUCUACGUUGGAGGUAAACAAAUACGGGUCCAGCUUAGGAGAAAACAAAAACGUCUUACAGCCAGUGUCUAAACUCCAAACAACGGAAUGUAUCAAUGAGACCUUGUAUAUGGAUACACGUGCAUUUAAAACCGCCCUGCCGGCGUGUAGAGCUCUUGCCGUUCGCCAGCGCUUUACAGGGGUUAUCGCACUUAAGCCUCGGAACAACUUUACCAGAUGAGGACACCUGAGGCUCAGAUUACGAAAUCUGCCCCAAAGUCUUAGAACUGGUAUUCUCCACUGGUUGAAUGCAAAUGGAAGCCAGAGGAAAAGGGAACCCUUGACACAGUUUUCAUAUAGACUGGCCUCCAGGGCAGACAGCAGGAGGGGGGUUUAAUCUGGACUGAAUUGGAGGAAAGGAACUGGCACCAGAGUGGAGGCUGGAAGGAUGGUGGAACUGACACUGGGACAGAACACAGAAAACAGAAUAUAAUGCUAUUGCUCUGGCUGUAUCAAAUAAAAGUGUCAAGAGUGAGCAUCCUUGCAUUGUGCUGAAUCACAGAGGAAUACCUUUCAAUUUUUCUCCAUUGACUAUGAUAGCAGUGGGCUUUUCACAUGUGGGCUUUACUGUGUUGAGAUGAAAAUUUGAAUGCUGGGGCUCAGUGGAACACCUGAAGGAAGCUGGUGAGGCAGAUGUCCCGCCAUGCCUUCCAAGUGUCAUGCAACCAGUUCAUGCCUGUCAGCAUCUCUACCGGUAGACUCUGUGAGUCAGCAAAUCUACAGAGCAGAGAGCCACAGGUGGGGACAGAUGUGGUCAAAUGCCAUUUAAAUCAGUGAUUCUCAGCCCAGGAGUUGUCGUGGCACUGGCCUUGAGUGAGCUGGACCAAGCAAAGCGGUAGAAUUCCCCAUAAAGGACCAAGUGAGCAGAUAGAAGUUUCUCCAUUUUAACUUUUUCUGAGUCAAUUUAACAAACAACCUAGUGCCUUUUUCUGU
rnacentral:lncRNA from 1 species